rnacentral:rRNA from 1 species
UACGUAGGGGGCAAGCGUUGGUCCGGAUUUAUUGGGCGUAAAGAGCGUGUAGGCGGUCAGGUAGGUCCGUUGUGAAAACUCGAGGCUCAACCUCGAGACGCCGAUGGAAACCAUCUGACUAGAGUCCGGAAGAGGAGAGUGGAAUUCCUGGUGUAGCGGUGAAAUGCGCAGAUAUCAGGAAGAACACCCGUGGCUAAGGCGGCUCUCUAGUAGCGGUACUGACGCUG